AGGCCUGCUCGGGCCCACCUCGUCGGAGACGAGCAGGAACCGCCUCCUCUUCUUUGCAUAUCGGCGAAGUGUAGUUCUCAAGAGCAUUGUGGGGCCGGUUGCUGCCCGAAUCUCUCUAGGGAAUGGGACCGAGUUGGGGACCCAGACUCCCUGGCCUUCAUGGCCACAGUCCUGUCGCCGCCCCACCAAAAGCCAAUCUCUAAGUAUCCCAGAGUCCCGGGGCCAGAGUGGGAUGGGAGUGCGGGAUCGGAAGUUCCAUUUUUCAGAUGGGAAAAGUGAGGCUCAGAGAAAGCAGCCCAGACACGUUUCGGACCGGGACCCACGCACAGGCCCCUCCCCGGUCUUGGAAGGCCCUUCCUCUGAGAACAAAGAGAUGUUGGGCCAGAUCAUCUUCCACGCUUCUUCAGCUCCGAGAUAGGAACGCGGUCCCCCACCACUCACAGGCCGGCUGCUCCUCACCCAUCCGGUCUCACUGGGACGCCACGUUCCUCAGGGAAGAAUCUGGAACGAUGAAGGUGAUGAUUGUGCCUGUGGCCAAGACCGGGAGAACCCUGGAUCCCUACACCUUCCCCACCCCUGGAAUGUCACUAUACAUAUCUGACUUCUUCUGAUGUUGCCUUUGACCCUAAAGUCAAUAUGAUAAAGUAACAAGAAGCUGGGACAGAGGAACAAACACAGCCCACUCAAGCAGUGGUGGCAACAUUCUGUUAGAAAGGAGGGGAGUCAAAGAAAAAAACACCCCUCCGCCCAUCUCCUUAUCACCUCCCUAAAGACAGAGGAGAACAUGGACACCCUCCAUCCUGAUAGACAUGCCAUGUGGUCAGUUUGUGCGGU
ensembl:lncRNA novel transcript